rnacentral:rRNA from 2 species
CUACGUGCCAGCAGCCGCGGUAAUACGUAGGUGGCAAGCGUUGUCCGGAUUUAUUGGGCGUAAAGCGAGCGCAGGCGGUUUUUUAAGUCUGAUGUGAAAGCCUUUCGGCUCAACCGAAGAAGUGCAUCGGAAACUGGGAAACUUGAGUGCAGAAGAGGACAGUGGAACUCCAUGUGUAGCGGUGAAAUGCGUAGAUAUAUGGAAGAACACCAGUGGCGAAGGCGGCUGUCUGGUCUGUAACUGACGCUGAGGCUCGAAAGUAUGGGUAGCAAACAGGAUUAGAUACCCUGGUAGUCCAUACCGUAAACGAUGAAUGCUAAGUGUUGGAGGGUUUCCGCCCUUCAGUGCUGCAGCUAACGCAUUAAGCAUUCCGCCUGGGGAGUACGGCCGCAAGGCUGAAACUCAAAGGAAUUGACGGGGGCCCGCACAAGCGGUGGAGCAUGUGGUUUAAUUCGAAGCUACGCGAAGAACCUUACCAGGUCUUGACAUACUAUGCAAAUCUAAGAGAUUAGACGUUCCCUUCGGGGACAUGGAUACAGGUGGUGCAUGGUUGUCGUCAGCUCGUGUCGUGAGAUGUUGGGUUAAGUCCCGCAACGAGCGCAACCCUUAUUAUCAGUUGCCAGCAUUAAGUUGGGCACUCUGGUGAGACUGCCGGUGACAAACCGGAGGAAGGUGGGGAUGACGUCAAAUCAUCAUGCCCCUUAUGACCUGGGCUACACACGUGCUACAAUGGAUGGUACAACGAGUUGCGAACUCGCGAGAGUAAGCUAAUCUCUUAAAGCCAUUCUCAGUUCGGAUUGUAGGCUGCAACUCGCCUACAUGAAGUCGGAAUCGCUAGUAAUCGCGGAUCAGCAUGCCGCGGUGAAUACGUUCCCGGGCCUUGUACACACCGCCCGUCACACCAUGAGAGUUUGUAACACCCAAAGUCGGUGGGGUAACCUUUUAGGAA